AUCUGAUGUUCCUCUGUGUGGGCAGACACGAAGCCUUCUGAUGAGGACAUCACUGAGCUGUCACAUGAGGGUCAGGACCAGCCAAGUGUCCUCUGUGUCCUUUUCUACACCAGUGGGGAAACAAAGGCAGUGCAAGAGGUGUGACAGGUCUGGCAUCUCUAUCCAUUUCUGGCCUGCUACUAUGAAAUGGGGAUAACACCACUUCCUUCACCCGGUGGCUCGUCUGUUUUGUGUAUUUAGCUUGCCAUUUCCCCCUGUGAUCAACAAGAGCCUGAUGCUGUGCCAGAACAAUGAAGAUGGUAAAACCCACACUGAAGUGGUGGAUGCCCCAUCCUUGGAGACACUUGAGGUCAGGCUGGAUGGGGCUCUGAGCAACCUGAUCUGGUUGAAGAUACCCGUGCUCAUUGCAGAGGGCUGGACCAGAUAACCUUUAAAGGUCCCCUCCAGCCCAAAUUGUUCUAUGACUGCUGCUAAAGAUCUUUGUAGAUAAUUUCCUUCAAACUCAAAUUCAAUGUCUUGUUUACUCAUCAGAAAUGUGUCUCUCUCCUGGCAGCCAUUGUCCCCUCUGUUUAUCACUAUAUGCAGUUUUAUCAGUUUAUAGCACUAUGAAUGUUAUGGGUAACUAAGCACAAAUCUUGGUGCAUCUUAAAAAAAUAGAAUUACACAGAAAAUCAGUGUAUCCUGUGAAGUGUGCAGCUGCUGGCAGCAUGAGAGACAGUCUUUAUUAUUAUAGCUGCAGAUUAUGCCAUUACUAUAUUAUAAUGUAAACACAUUUUUCUCUACAAAAUAGAUGGGGUUUUAUCUUUGGAAAUAGAUAAAAAUUACUUUUCUGAGAAUUUUAGAAGCCUGAAAUACUACUGUUUUAGUUCUCAGCUGCCAGAUUGUCCUAGAAAGCUAAUGUGUGUGAGUUCUCACGUUCAGCUGCAGGCUGCUUUCUGCUCCUGUUCCGUGGAGAAUGAAAUUUGACUGCAGAAAACGAGGACAGAAAAGUUAAAGAAUAAGAGAGAUUUCAGAAGGUUUUCCAUCCUGUACUUUAGCUGAUGCAAACCAAAAGCCAAAAUGGAGCCCAGGAAGUAGAUACCAAAUGAUAUGAAGCUAUUUUUCAUGCUGCUGUCUAGCUGGCCACCUGCUAGGCUUACCAGAGACCUCCAGCUCCAGGUUGCCCAUGGAACAAUGGCAGGGAGCAGUUGGGCUGAAAGGCAGCUCCUGCUGGAUGUGUCAUCAUCCCUCACCCGCUCUCGCUGGAAUUAGUGACAUUUUCAGUGGCAGCUUUUAGCAGGAGGAUUGAAUGGGUAUAGAAAUGAACUGCUGUGUUGCUCUCCGGAGGGUUGGAAUUACAUAGGCACAAAUGAGGCCCCCUGAUGUGGAGUGCUCCUGAUGAGGGAGCUUGAAAUGCAGCACAUUGUAUUUCACUCGUUAUCUGGCUAAAUGGAUCUCUGUACAUCAAGGCUGUCAAUCAAGAACUUUUAUCCAUACAAAUGUGGAAUAAAUUUUUGCAUAAAAACCAGGAAAAUGAAGCAAAAAAUGUGCUGAUUUUCUAAUUUUAGAAAAUUAUAUCAUCAAUAGCGUAGGGGUAUCUGUAUUUCUGUCUUUUACUGAACAGAUAUUCUUGGCUUAUAAGUGAGUUUUUCCUAACUAGCAUUAGAAAGUCAAGUGGAAUUAUUUCUAGCUUGUACAAGUAAAAAAAUAUGUAAUCCAGAUGAUCCCUAACAGUUCUGGGGAUGAUGUGCAAAUCAGACUAGAACAUGGCUCCCUCUUCUGGAUUUUAUUUUUUUUUUUAUUAUUCUACAAGGUUAACAAAAUCAACAAAAUUAAAUAUCCAGCUGGUAUACAUAUGAAAAGGUCUGUGGAAUUGAAAUUAUCUCCUCUCAGGUUUAAAAUAAGAUUGUUCCAGAAGUUUAAUGAAUUGCCAAAGACCAUGUUUGAUCUGAGUGUCAGCACUAACACUGUCCAGGCUGGGUAUUUAUUUGCUGCUAUGUAAAAUACUCUGAGGUAUAAUACAGGUGCCUCUAAAACAGCACAGCUUAAAAACAUGGUAUUCCCAAAUUGUCAUGGAAAUGUAGACAGAUGGGGGACAAUGGAUUGAAAGAUAAUGGUUUCCAAAAUGUUAAUUAAAAUAGGGCAAGAGCACAGUGAGGUUGAUUAGAAGGGAUCCAUUUGCUUCUGUAGCUUUGGAGAGAUGACCUUGAGUUUUAAGUUAACAAAUUCUUUGUGAUAGAUGACU